rnacentral:rRNA from 1 species
AUUGAACGCUGGCGGCAUGCCUUACACAUGCAAGUCGAACGGCAGCACGGGUGCUUGCACCUGGUGGCGAGUGGCGAACGGGUGAGUAAUACAUCGGAACAUGUCCUGUAGUGGGGGAUAGCCCGGCGAAAGCCGGAUUAAUACCGCAUACGAUCCACGGAUGAAAGCGGGGGACCUUCGGGCCUCGCUCUAUAGGGUUGGCCGAUGGCUGAUUAGCUAGUUGGUGGGGUAAAGGCCUACCAAGGCGACGAUCAGUAGCUGGUCUGAGAGGACGACCAGCCACACUGGGACUGAGACACGGCCCAGACUCCUACGGUAGGCAGCAGUGGGGAAUUUUGGACAAUGGGCGAAAGCCUGAUCCAGCAAUGCCGCGUGUGUGAAGAAGGCCUUCGGGUUGUAAAGCACUUUUGUCCGGAAAGAAAUCCUUGGCUCUAAUACAGUCGGGGGAUGACGGUACCGGAAGAAUAAGCACCGGCUAACUACGUG